rnacentral:rRNA from 1 species
UUAGAAAAGCUCCCACAUCAGCCCGUACCGCAAACCGACACAGGUAGGCAAGAAGAAUAUUCUAAGGUGCUCGAGUGAAUCACGGCUAAGGAACUCGGCAAAUUAACCCUGUAACUUCGGGAAAAGGGGUUCCCCGCUUCGGCGGGGACGCAGAGAAAUGGCCCAGGCGACUGUUUAUCAAAAACACAUGGCUAUGCUAAAUCGAAAGAUAAUGUAUAUGGCCUGACACCUGCCCGGUGCUGGAAGGUUAAGAGGGGAUGUCAUCCGCAAGGAGAAGCAUUGAAUCGAAGCCCCAGUAAACGGCGGCCGUAACGAUAACGGUCCUAAGGUAGCGAAAUUCCUUGUCGGGUAAGUUCCGACCUGCACGAAUGGUGUAACGAUCUGGGCACUGUCUCAGCCGUGAGCUCGGUGAAAUUGUGGUAUCGGUGAAGACGCCGGUUAAUCGCAUCGGGACGGAAAGACCCCGUGCACCUUUACUAUAGUUUUGCAUUGACUUUGGGUAAAUAAUGUGUAGGAUAGGCGGGAGAUUAUGAAGCGGUGUCGCCAGGCAUCGUGGAAUCAACCUUGAAAUACCGCCCUUUAUUUACCUGGAGUCUAAUCCCAAUUAUUUGGGAGACAUUGCAUGAUGGGUAGUUUGUCUGGGGUGGUCGCCUCCAAAAAAGUAUCGGAGGCUUCUAAAGGUCCGCUCAGCACGCUUGGUAACCGUGCGCAGAGUGCAAUAGCAUAAGCGGGCUUGACUGUGAGGCCUACAAGCCGAGCAGGAACGAAAGUAGAGUAUAGUGAUCCGGUGGUUCUGUAUGGAAGGGCCAUCGCUCAUAGGAUAAAAGGUACGCCGGGAUAACAGGCUGAUCUCCCCCAAGAGCUCACAUCGACGGGGAGGUUUGGCACCUCGAUGUCGGCUCGUCACAUCCUGGGGCUGGAGAAGGUCCCAAGGGUUCGGCUGUUCGCCGAUUAAAGUGGCACGCGAGCUGGGCUCAGAACGUCGUGAGACAGUUCGGUCCCUAUCUGAUGUGAUCGUUGGAAAUUUGAGAGGAUCUGACCUUAGUACGAGAGGACCGGGUUGGACGUACCUCUGGUGUAUCUGUUGUGGCGCCAGCUGCACUGCAGAGUAGCUAUGUACGGACGAGAUAAGCGCUGAAAGCAUCUAAGCACGAAACUUACCUCAAGAUGAGAUUUCCUUUAAGGGUCGUAGUAGACGACUACGUUGAUAGGCUACAGAUGUAAAGAUGGUAACAUCAAAGUCGAGUAGUACUAAUUACUCA